rnacentral:rRNA from 1 species
AUUGAACGCUGGCGGCAUGCCUUACACAUGCAAGUCGAACGGUAACAGGUCUUCGGAUGCUGACGAGUGGCGAACGGGUGAGUAAUACAUCGGAACGUGCCCGAGAGUGGGGGAUAACGAAGCGAAAGCUUUGCUAAUACCGCAUACGAUCUCAGGAUGAAAGCAGGGGACCGCAAGGCCUUGCGCUCACGGAGCGGCCGAUGGCAGAUUAGGUAGUUGGUGGGAUAAAAGCUUACCAAGCCGACGAUCUGUAGCUGGUCUGAGAGGACGACCCGCCACACUGGGAAUGAUACACGGCCCGGACUCCUAAGGGAGGCAGCAGUGGGGAAUUUUGGACAAUGGGCGCAAGCCUGAUCCAGCCAUGCCGCGUGCAGGAUGAAGGCCUUCGGGUUGUAAACUGCUUUUGUACGGAACGAAAAGACUCCUUCUAAUAAAGGGGGUCCAUGACGGUACCGUAAGAAUAAGCACCGGCUAACUACGUGCCAGCAGCCGCAGUAAAAC